UCUCUGAAAUGUGAAAUGGCCGAGAGGAGCAAAGCGGGAGAGAAAGCUUGUGAGAGCUUGGCCGAGGCAUGCGAGAUCGGAGAAGAGAGAAGAGGGAUAGAGUGAUAGAGUUGGGUGGCCGGUAGUGGCCGGCCGAUGGCCAACCAGCGAGUGGUAGCCAGCAGCCAUGGCUGGCCGCGAUGGAAACUGGGCAAGCGAUGAUGGCUGGUGGAGUAGCCACGGGAGCAGAAGCGGCCUGUGGUGGCCGCAGUGGCAAACAGUGACGAGCGUUGCUGGCAAUGGCGGAGGCUUCAAUGAAGGUCGGCCAUGGCAGCAGUGGCAGCGGCGGAGAGGCUGUGAGCAAGGGACCAGCUGGCUGCGAGGAAGGCGACCGGCAAUGGCGGUCGCGCAGCAGCGGAGGUGGCCGAAGGCAGGUGGCGGCGGCUAAAGCUGAGCGUCAUAGGGCAGCUGCUGGUGCGCAGGCGUAUGCAAAGGUGGAAGAAGAAAACGCGCGCGGGAGAAGGGAGAAGUAGGUGAGGAAGAAGAGAAAAAAAAUAGAAAAAAAUAAAAUAAAAUAUAAAGAAAUCUGAAAAAAUGGAGAAAAUAUGAGAAAAAUAGUCAAAAAUUCCAGAAAAUUCUGGAAUAAUUGUGAAAAUUAUUUUGGGGCUUUAGGAGUGUGUUGGAGGCUCGAAAAUAAGAUUUGGGCAUAAGAUUUGCGGCCAAGGAGGUAGCGCCAGUAUUGGCAUUUUUUAGAAUUUCUCCUCCAAAAUGAGUACAGAUUCGACCAGGGAGGCAAUGAUCCUUAAAGAGCUUAGAGUUCGUGCUGAGGCAAGAGAGGCUUCGAGCCAGAUGAUGAAAAUCCAGAUGCAAGCAGGGAUGGUGUCAGGAGGCUGAUAUGGUGACUAAAGGUGUUGCUCGAGUUGGAUGUUAUUCCAUUAUGAUGUAUAUAUAUUCUUGUGUGUGAAUGCAUGUGUUGUUGAGCGUUAGAUGUAUCUAGUUGUUGUAAUCAUCAUAGUGUGAUAGAUAAGUGUGAGAAGGCUGGAUGAAUAUAGCCCUAGUUGGUGGAGCCAAGUUCAGAUCGGGUAAAGAUCUGCAAGGUAUGUUCCCAUAAAUUCCCAAUACUCAGCGAAGUGUGUGUUAUGCUAGCUUUGUGCCUGGUUCACCUUUGGGUUUCGGGUUCCAGUCCGCUGUGUUUUCUUGUCUGUGUUUGGGACCGAUUCCUUGAGUGGAGUGAAGGGAAGGACGAAACCUAUUCCUCGCUCAGGGCGUUUCUUGUUGAAACAUAGUCCAACCAUUCUAUUGUGAUUUGUCGAGUGAAUAAUCAGGGUGAUUAUUCACCGGUGGCGCCCGAUAGUGGGAGCAAGUUGUUACAGUUCCUCCCACAUCCGAAUGAAUUGCAUGUAAAUUGAUAAAAUUACACUGAUUUUUUCCUAACAUUUGAAUGCUACAAUUCCCUCAUCCAAAUGAAUUUCCCUAUCAUCCGAAUGUGCUAGAAAUCAUCCGAGUGUGUCAUUCAAUUCGUGAUUUAUUGUAGCAGACCUGCCAUACUUCAUUCUUUUAGGUAUAUCUCCUUGUGAUAAUAUCCUAUUUAAGAUCUGUUUGAUGCGUUAGAAACUAGACUUCAUAGGCUUCGAUUCGAUAUAUUAUUCGAAUAAUUUGGUUAUGUUUUGAGCUCGUAACAACCCGAUUAAUUUCUAUCAAGAAAUUCAUAGCUUACUAUUUCAUGCAGUCUGACCACCUGGUGUUCUUUGGCCUAUAACUUUUUGUUCCCUUCUCCGAAUUGAGAUCCGUUUGUUGGGAUGUAAACUAGAAAUCCUAGGUUUCGUUUUAUUACCCACAUUAUUUGUCCUUAUGUUGAGUCCACAAUGUCCCUGUCAACCUUGGGAAAAAACCUAGAACUUACUACUUUGAACCACUUAUAUAUAUAUAUAUAUGCCCAUUCGAAUGCUAUA